GAUGAAGAACGUAGUGAAAUGCGAUACGUAAUGUGAAUUGCAGAAUUCAGUGAAUCAUCGAGUCUUUGAACGCACAUUGCGCCCCCUGGUAUUCCGGGGGGCAUGCCUGUCCGAGCGUCAUUGCUGCCCUCAAGCACGGCUUGUGUGUUGGGCCUCCGUCCUCCUCCCGGGGGACGGGCCCGAAAGGCAGCGGCGGCACCGCGUCCGGUCCUCGAGCGUAUGGGGCUUCGUCACCCGCUCUUGUAGGCCCGGCCGGCGCUUGCCGACACAUCAAUCUUUUUUCCAGGUUGACCUCGGAUCAGGUAGGGAUACCCGCUGAACUUAAGCAUAUCAAUAAGCGGAGAA
rnacentral:misc_RNA from 1 species